rfam:Triticum aestivum genome assembly, contig: Triticum_aestivum_CS42_TGACv1_scaffold_145946_2BS
GAGCUACUCCCUCCGUCCGGAAAUACUCGUCGGAGGAAUGGAUGCAUCUAGACAUAUUUUAGUUCUAGAUACAUCAAUUUUUAUCAAUUUAUCUGACAAGUAUUUUAGGACGGAGGGAGUAUAAA